UACGUAGGGACCGAGCGUUGUCCGGAAUUAUUGGGCGUAAAGAGCGCGUAGGCGGUCCGAUAAGUCGGCUGUGAAAGUCCAGGGCUCAACCCUGGAAAGCCGGCCGAUACUGUCGGACUAGAGUCCGGAAGAGGCAAGUGGAAUUCCCGGUGUAGCGGUGAAAUGCGCAGAUAUCGGGAGGAACACCGAUGGCGAAGGCAGCCAUCUGGACCGACACUGACGCUGAGGCGCGAAAGCGUGGGGAGCAAACAGG
rnacentral:rRNA from 1 species